AUUGAACGCUGGCGGCAUGGCUAAAACAUGCAAGUCGAGGGAGAACCUGCCUUCGGGCAGGGGACACCGGCGAAAGGGCGAGGAAUACAUUCGAACGUACCCCGAGGUGGAGGAUAGCCGUGGGAAACUGCGGGUAAAUACUCCAUGUGCUCUACGGAGGAAAGCCCCGGCGCCUUGGGAGCGGCGAAUGUCCUAUCAGGUUGUUGGUGAGGUAACGGCUCACCAAGCCAAAGACGGGUAGCGGGUGUGAGAGCAUGACCCGCCGCAUCGGGACUGAGACACUGCCCGGACUCCCUACGGGAGGCUGCAGUAACGAAUAUUCCGCAAAUGCGCGAAAAGCGUGACGGAGCAAUGCCGCGUGCAGGACGAAGCAGUUACGCCGUGUAAAC
rnacentral:rRNA from 1 species